AACGAACGCUGGCGGCGCGCCUAAUACAUGCAAGUCGAGCGAGAGACGUAGCAAUACGUUUGUAAAGCGGCGAACGGGUGAGGAAUACAUGGGUAACCUACCCUCGAGUGGGGAAUAACUAGCCGAAAGGUUAGCUAAUACCGCGUACGCUCCUUGGACUUCGGUUCAGGGAGGAAAGCGAUACCGUGGGUAUCGCGCUCUUGGAUGGGCUCAUGUCCUAUCAGCUUGUUGGGAGG
rnacentral:rRNA from 1 species